rnacentral:rRNA from 1 species
GCCAGACUCCUACGGGAGGCAGCAGUGGGGGAUAUUGCACAAUGGGGGAAACCCUGAUGCAGUGACGCCGCGUGUGGGAAGACGGUCCUCUGGAUUGUAAACCACUGUCCCCAGGGACGAAGAUGACGGUACCUGACUAAGAAGCCCCGGCUAACUACGUGCCAGCAGCCGCGGUAAUACGUAGGGGGCAAGCGUUAUCCGGAUUUACUGGGUGUAAAGGGAGCGUAGGUGGUGAUGCAAGUCAGAAGUGAAAGCCCGCAGCUCAACUGCGGGACUGCUUUUGAAACUGUAUGACUAGAUUGCAGGAGAGGUAAGUGGAAUUCCUAGUGUAGCGGUGAAAUGCGUAGAUAUUAGGAGGAACACCAGUGGCGAAGGCGGCUUACUGGACUGUAAAUGACGCUGAGGCUCGAAAGCGUGGGGAGCAAACAGGAUUAGAUACCCCGGUAAGU